rnacentral:rRNA from 1 species
CCUACGGGAGGCAGCAGUGGGGAAUAUUGGGCAAUGGGCGCAAGCCUGACCCAGCAACGCCGCGUGAAGGAAGAAGGCUUUCGGGUUGUAAACUUCUUUUAAGAGGGAAGAGCAGAAGACGGUACCUCUUGAAUAAGCCACGGCUAACUACGUGCCAGCAGCCGCGGUAAUACGUAGGGGGCAAGCGUUGUCCGGAUUUACUGGGGGUAAAGGGCGUGCAGCCGGGAAGACAAGUCAGAUGUGAAAUCCCGCGGCUCAACCGCGGAACUGCAUUGGAAACUGUUUUUCUUGAGUACCGGAGAGGUCAUCGGAAUUCCUUGUGUAGCGGUGAAAUGCGUAGAUAUAAGGAAGAACACCAGUGGCGAAGGCGGAUGACUGGACGGCAACUGACGGUGAGGCGCGAAAGCGUGGGGAGCAAACAGGAGUAGAUACCCGAGUAGUC